GACGUAGGGGGCGAGCGUUGUCCGGAUUCAUUGGGCGUAAAGCGCGCGUAGGCGGCUGCGCAAGUCGGUUGUGAAAUUCCGGGGCUCAACCCCGGAACUGCGUCCGAUACUGCGUGGCUAGAGGUAGGUAGGGGAGAUCGGAAUUCCUGGUGUAGCGGUGAAAUGCGCAGAUAUCAGGAGGAACACCGGUGGCGAAGGCGGGUCUCUGGGCAGUAACUGACGCUGAGGAGCGAAAGUGUGGGGAGCGAACAGG
rnacentral:rRNA from 1 species